GACGAACGCUGGCGGCGUGCUUAACACAUGCAAGUCGAACGGAAAGGCCCUGCUUUUGUGGGGUGCUCGAGUGGCGAACGGGUGAGUAACACGUGAGUAACCUGCCCUUGACUUUGGGAUAACUUCAGGAAACUGGGGCUAAUACCGGAUAGGAGCUCCUGCUGCAUGGUGGGGGUUGGAAAGUUUCGGCGGUUGGGGAUGGACUCGCGGCUUAUCAGCUUGUUGGUGGGGUAGUGGCUUACCAAGGCUUUGACGGGUAGCCGGCCUGAGAGGGUGACCGGCCACAUUGGGACUGAGAUACGGCCCAGACUCCUACGGGAGGCAGCAGUGGGGAAUAUGGCACAAUGGGCGGAAGCCCGAUGCAGCAACGCCGCGUGCGGGAUGACGGCCUUCGGGUUGUAAACCGCUUUCGCCUGUGACGAAGCGUGAGUGACGGUAAUGGGUAAAGAAGCACCGGCUAACUACGUG
rnacentral:rRNA from 1 species